CGCCCCCACCGCUGUUGACGUUGGCGGAAGGAAGCGCCCCGCUUGGGGCAGUGACGUCGUGGAGCGGCGGGGCCCGGCCCCGGCCCGAGGCCGGCAGCAUGUGGGGGGCGGCCGAUGCGGAAAUGCUUCAAAGAGCAUCAGAAGAAUUCUCUCCAAAGAUGGAGAUUCCUGAGGAGGAGAUGGAUACAACUGAUACCCAAUGGGGCUGGUUUUACUUGGCUGAAUGUGGCAAAUGGCAUAUGUUUCAGACUGAUUCAAACACUCAGUGUUCAGUUAGCAGUGAAGACAUUGAAAGGAGCUUCAAAAUGAACCCAGAAGGCUCUGUUUCUUUUACUACUGCAAAAUUUAACUACAAGUUAGACUUUUCAGUGAUGAAACAAACCAAUCUGACUACUGGAAAACAGCGUCCAAUAAAGCGAGCUCCCUUUUCUAUCAGUGCUUUCAGUUAUAUCUGUGAAAAUGAGGCUAUCCCAAUGCCUUCACACUGGGAGAAUGUAAAUACAGAGGAACCAUAUCAGCUUAUUCCUUUGCAAAAACAAACAAAUGAAUAUAAUGAAGUUUCUAGUCUCUUUGGGAAAACAAUGGAUAGCAACCGAAUUAAAAGAAUUCAGAGAAUUCAAAAUCUAGACUUGUGGGAGUUUUUUUGCAGGAAAAAAGCUCAGCUAAAGAAGAGAAGAGGUGUCCCUACCAUUAAUGAACAAAUGUUAUUUCAUGGUACCAGCAAUGAAUUUGUAGAAGCAAUAUGCAUUCAUAACUUUGACUGGAGAAUAAAUGGUAUGCAUGCUGCUGUGUAUGGAAAAGGGACCUAUUUUGCAAGAGAUGCAUCGUACUCCAGUCGUUUCUGCAAAGAUGAUAUGAAGCAUGGAGACACUUUUCAAAUCCAUGGUGUCAGUCUGCAACAUCAUGUGUUCAGAACGUAUAAAGUUAUGUUUCUUGCUCGUGUUUUAACUGGAGACUAUGUCAUUGGAGAUUCCAAAUACAUGAGACCUCCUUCAAAAGAUGGGAGCUUUGUGAACUUAUUCGACAGCUGCGUGGAUAGUACUUGGAAUCCAAAGAUCUUUGUUAUCUUUGAUACCAAUCAAAUCUACCCUGAAUAUUUAAUAGAGUUCUGUUAAGUUUUGCAAGGAGCCAAACUGAAUAUUAGGUUGGUUGUGAUGGAUGGGCAGUAUGUCUUUGCGAAGGAAAUAUAACUUACAAUUUUUUUUAAAUUCGUGGUGAUGAACAGAGAUGGAGAUGUGAAGGAAAAUCUGGCUUACAUCUGUAAAAUCCUUUUGGCUUAAGAUGCAGAGUAUGGACUGUUUUUACCAGGUAGAAUCUGAUUGGGGAGGAGAAGAGGGACCAGAAGAAAGAUCAGAGAGACCUAAACUCCUGAAGAAGGGGAAGUGAGGUGUUAAAUGAGUAAAAACACAUUGGCUCUCCCUCAUGAGACUGCCUCUUUGGAUCCCUGCUCUUGGAUUCUUGCCCUGUCACACAGACCUUAGAUAUACUCAAAGUUGUGUUAGUUUUCUGGCAUGGGAGGGAGCAUACUACUGCACGUGCACAGCCUGGCAUUAUGACCCAGCUAAUAGAGGCAUGUAUCCCCUCCUCCCUAAGUCCUUUAUCUGUAUCUGUUCAUGGACUGUUGCAGUCACACCACGUGUUGGUUGUUUGUGUUCUUUGAAAUUUCUUGGAAACUUUUCCUCGACUUAUCUUCUUCAGCUGCUCAGGGCAGGGACUGUGGCUUCCUUUGUGCUUGUACAGUACCUAGCACAAUGGUUCUCCUGAGUGAGAUUUCUGGGUGUUAUUGCAAUGAUAACCAGUGAUACAGAACGGUAAACCUUCACUGAUCCACAAGACUUGUAAUACACACAUGCACACACAAUAAGGCGACAUCUACACUGUGAGCAGGGGACUCACACCCUCAUAUACGCAUACUUAAGCUAGCAUGAGUAUAAAUAGUUUAGCUGUGAUAGCAUGGGUAGCAGCCAUGGAGGAAUGGCUACACCAUCCCAGUAUGAGUAUGUGUACACAAGCAGAGGGAAUCGCCCCUAGGUUGUAGUGAACCCUCCCGACUUCUCAUCAGAGAUUUACUAGCAAAUGCGGUAGGGUGUCCUCAGACUAAGUCCUCUUUAUUUUUAUAAAAUAUUCUACAAUACAUGUACUUGGACAUUAUGAAAUUAUAAGAAGUCAAAAUAAAAUAAAAAGUUGUACCCCUUUUGUUUGUUCACUCACUAAUUUCCAAAAUCCAGUAACUAUUUUCCUCAAGUC